GGAACACGUACGCAACUUACCCUGAACUGGGGCAUAGCCCGGGGAAACCCGGAUUAAUACCCCGUAACACUUUUAGGUGGCAUCACCUGAUGGUUAAAGCUCCGGUGGUUCAGGAUGGGCGUGCGGCUGAUUAGGUAGUUGGUUGGGGUAACGGCCCACCAAGCCAACGAUCAGUAACUGGUGUGAGAGCACGACCAGUCACACGGGCACUGAGACACGGGCCCGACUCCUACGGGAGGCAGCAGUAAGGAAUAUUGGGCAAUGGAGGCAACUCUGACCCAGCCAUGCCGCGUGGAGGAUGAAGGCCCUCUGGGUUGUAAACUUCUUUUACUUGGGACGAAACCUUCUUAUUCUUAGGAAGUUGACGGUACCAAGGGAAUAAGCACCGGCUAACUCCGUGCCAGCAGCCGCGGUAAUACGGAGGGUGCAAGCGUUAUCCGGAUUCACUGGGUUUAAAGGGUGCGUAGGCGGGCAGG
rnacentral:rRNA from 1 species